rnacentral:rRNA from 1 species
UACGUAGGGUGCGAGCGUUGUUCGGAUUCAUUGGGCGUAAAGGGUGCGUAGGCGGCGCGGUAAGUCGGGUGUGAAAUCUUGGAGCUUAACUCCGAAACUGCAUUCGAUACUGCCGUGCUUGAGGACUGGAGAGGAGACUGGAAUUUACGGUGUAGCGGUGAAAUGCGUAGAUAUCGUAAGGAAGACCAGUGGCCGAAGGCGGGUCUCUGGACGAGUUC